rnacentral:rRNA from 1 species
UACGUAGGGGGCGAGCGUUGUCCGGAAUGAUUGGGCGUAAAGGGCGCGCAGGCGGCCUGUCAAGUCAGUAGUGGAAGUCCAUUUUUCAAGGAUGGAAGUGCUAUAGAAACUGAUGGGCUUGAGUGCAGGAGAGGUUAUCGGAAUUCCCGGUGUAGCGGUGAAAUGCGUAGAGAUCGGGAGGAACACCAGUGGCGAAGGCGGGUAACUGGACUGCAACUGACGCUGAGGCGCGAAAAGUGUGGGGAGCAAACAGGAUUAGAUACCCCCGUA